rnacentral:rRNA from 1 species
ACCUCUGCAAUAGGCGAAAGCCUGACAGGGUUACUCUGAGUGAUGCCCGCUAAGGGUAUCUUUUGGCACCUCUAAAAAUGGUGCAGAAUAAGGGGUGGGCAAGUCUGGUGUCAGCCGCCGCGGUAAUACCAGCACCCCGAGUUGUCGGGACGAUUAUUGGGCCUAAAGCAUCCGUAGCCUGUUCUGCAAGUCCUCCGUUAAAUCCACCUGCUCAACGGAUGGGCUGCGGAGGAUACCGCAGAGCUAGGAGGCGGGAGAGGCAAACGGUACUCAGUGGGUAGGGGUAAAAUCCAUUGAUCUACUGAAGACCACCAGUGGCGAAGGCGGUUUGCCUGAACGCGCCCGACGGUGAGGGAUGAAAGCUGGGGGAGCAAACCGGAUUAGAUACCCGGGUAGUCCCAGCUGUAAACGAUGCAGACUCGGUGAUGGGUUGGCUUCGAGCCAACCCAGUGCCGCAGGGAAGCCGUUAAGUCUGCCGCCUGGGGAGUACGGUCGCAAGACUGAAACUUAA